rnacentral:rRNA from 1 species
UACGUAGGUGGCAAGCGUUGUCCGGAUUUACUGGGCGUAAAGAGCGCGCAGGCGGUCGUUCAAGUCGCGUGUGAAAGCCCCCGGCUCAACUGGGGAGGGUCACGCGAUACUGAUCGACUCGAAGGCAGGAGAGGGGAGUGGAAUUCCCGGUGUAGUGGUGAAAUGCGUAGAUAUCGGGAGGAACACCUAUGGCGAAGGCAGCUCGCUGGGACGUUACUGACGCUGAGACGCGAAAGCGUGGGGAGCAAACAGG